GAUGAACGCUGGCGGCGUGCCUAAUACAUGCAAGUCGAGCGAACAGACGAGGCGCUUGCUCCUCUGACGUUAGCGGCGGGCGGGUGAGUAACACGUGGAUAACCUACCUAUAAGACUGAGAUAACUUCGGGAGACCGGAGCUAAUACCGGAUAAUAUAUUGAACCGCAUGGUUCAAUAGUGCACAACGGUUUUGCUGUCACUUAUAGAUGGAUCCGCGCCGCAUUAGCUAGUUGGUAAGGUAACGGCUUACCAAGGCAACGAUGCGUAGCCGACCUGAGAGGGUGAUCGGCCACACUGGAACUGAGACACGGUCCAGACUCCUACGGGAGGCAGCAGUAGGGAAUCUUCCGCAAUGGGCGAAAGCCUGACGGAGCAACGCCGCGUGAGUGAUGAAGGUCUUCGGAUCGUAAAGCUCUGUUAUUAGGGAAGAACAAAUGUGUAAGUAACUAUGCACGUCUUGACGGUACCUAAUCAGAAAGCCACGGCUAACUACGUG
rnacentral:rRNA from 1 species